rnacentral:rRNA from 1 species
ACUCCUACGGGAGGCAGCAGUGGGGAAUAUUGCACAAUGGGGGCAAGCCUGAUGCAGCCAUGCCGCGUGUGUGAAGAAGGCCUUCGGGUUGUAAAGCACUUUCAGUCGUGAGGAAGGUAGUGUAGUUAAUAGCUGCAUUAUUUGACGUUAGCGACAGAAGAAGCACCGGCUAACUCCGUGCCAGCAGCCGCGGUAAUACGGAGGGUGCGAGCGUUAAUCGGAAUUACUGGGCGUAAAGCGCAUGCAGGUGGUUUGUUAAGUCAGAUGUGAAAGCCCGGGGCUCAACCUCGGAAUUGCAUUUGAAACUGGCAGACUAGAGUACUGUAGAGGGGGGUAGAAUUUCAGGUGUAGCGGUGAAAUGCGUAGAGAUCUGAAGGAAUACCGGUGGCGAAGGCGGCCCCCUGGACAGAUACUGACACUCAGAUGCGAAAGCGUGGGGAGCAAACAGGAUUAGAUACCCUGGUAGGAUAGCG